UACAUUUUGAUUUAUGAACUG
rnacentral:piRNA from 1 species